ACCCCACCCGCCGCCUCCUGUUUAUUGUAAUUGUAUCCGAUUUUUUUUUCAUUCGUUCCAAUUUGGAGAUCGUGGGGAGGAGGAGCCGAGGAGACGCCAGUUCCCCCAGCUCGCCGCCCCCUCCGCCGAAUGAGAAUAGCUCGCCGCCACCUCCGUCCUCUUGCUUCGCCGCCGCCGAGGACCUUCCUGGCACCGUCUUUCUCCCUCCUCCUCUCAACCCCUCAGAUCCCUGUCGCUAUUGGCCAUGGCUGCGGUUUUGAAGGCGCAGUUGUGGGUGAGCACCGACUGUUGCUGCUGGGUUCGGCACCGGCGAGGUCGACACACCUAGGGCGGCCAUCCUACCCGCCACCAGGCCCACCACUGCGUCUCCUGCUAACACUACUGGCAGAUCCAGUAUGCGUUCGGCCUAGGUCACGGCCAGGAGCUCCUCUUCAACUGCAGCAAGUGUAUUCAUUCGAAGAUGCCUCUCGAUGGAUGUCACUUCGCAGCCCUUGGUCUGCAACCCGGCCUCCUACACGUGAUGUUGUGUGUGCAAAUGCCAGACAUUUUCCAUCAAAGCGCUCUCCUCCAGCUACACUCAUGAUCGCUCACAAAGUGAUGGAGCUGAUGGCCAUGAAGUUCAGGUUCUGAAUGAGAAGGGAUUGUGGGCUGAUAGCCAAGUGAGACAUCAGUUUGUCCAUGUUUGAGUGCCUCAGAAUAAACAGCAGUAGACACCCACAACAGUCUUAUUCUGUGAUCCAGUUCAUUAGUCUUUCUUAGUUAAGUAAACAUCUCCAAGUAUUUUCUUUGCAUGAGUUAGAAAACAUUUUCUUCUUUCCUCUUCACUUUUUUCAUUUUAUCUAGAUCCUGGCCUGUUCCCCCAUGGCGGUGGCACCCACCAGGCUGCAGUCUCCAUCCCCAUGGUGGCGGCGCCUCCAGGUGUGGCGCAUCACCAUGAGCACAAAGAUGUCACCAUGGCCUCGUCAACGGCGAAGGGCGUUGUUAGUCCUUCCGAAGGUUCAUCUCAUACUUGGAGAGGGCAGAUUUGUUCUCAUUUUUCUAAGACAAUAGCUCUUUCAGUACUAGAGCAAUUGCUAGUGGAGUGGUUGCUGGCGCAGCCUUGCUAUUUGCUAUUCCCACUACCGGCAGCGGCGGCAGUGGUGAUGAGACGGGCUCCCAGCCCCUCUUUGCCUGGUUGCGCAGCUUGUGCGCCUUCUUGUGGCUGCGCGAGCGCCUUCGAGCUGCAGAACUUCCUGGGGCAGUAGUAGCAGGCGAAGACCGCAUGGAACCUGGGCAGCGACCACGGCAACCCGUUAACUGAUCUUUGGCUAGUUUUGUGGGAUUCGAUAGAUUUGUUGAUACGUAUAUCUAUCAGAUUUUGUAUUGAUAUAUUGGUCAAAAACCGAUAUAUUUUGACAGCGGAAAUCUGUAAUCAGAUGUCUAGACAGACCCUAAUAUUAACCAUGAAUAUUAUUUUUUAAUGUUUUCUUUUGUUCCACGUCUUUUGACAGGUCAAGUAAUUGACGACCACUAGAGGCGCAAGAGAAGGGAGAGGGAUGCAUUAGUUGUUUCCCGUCAAAUGAUAGCUCCUCUUGUUUCUCUUCCAGUCCAGUGGUCUGGACAUCGAAGGCAGUAGGCAGUACGUACCCCUUUGCGGUGUUCCUCAGACGGUGUUUCUCAUUCCC